rnacentral:lncRNA from 1 species
AACUGCAUUAUGCUGUAUUAUGAGCCGGUAUUUACCAUCUGGCCCAAUCACAGUAACAAGCUGAGCACUUCUGAAUAAAAGACAUUUUUCCUCAAAAUUUAUACUGCCUCCAGUGCCAGUAUUCUCUAUGGACCCUGAGCACAUAAUUAUUUCAUGGGGUAUCCUGCACAUAGAUCCAAGCAGAUGCCGGGACAUCCUGCAGAAGUACCCACUGAGGGUUUAGGCUUUCCAAGGCACACAGGUAAGACAAGCAGUCUUGCUAUCUCCUUGCUGCCUUCUUAUUGCUGUCUCCUUGCUUCCUGCCUGAAGUAAUUAAAAUCUCUUCUCACAGGUGCACUUUGCAUCCUGAUCCUAGUCUGCUCUUUGAUAUUGCUUCCAGUUUGAUCAGUUUUAUAAACCAAUUAGCCACGGGCUUCCCCCCAGAGGGCCAUUAAUUGCUGACUACCUCAGAGCCGCUGGACCAUGACUGUAUUUAUUUAGAUUUUUACAAGAUGUGCAGUCCCACUCUCCAACAAUUUGUGACGUCUGAGACUGCUGGAGUCCUAAGAACCACAAAUGCCCCAAACCCAGGAGCCCCCCCACCUCUCCCACCCUCUCUGCCAAUUAUCUCUUUUAGUCUCAAUACUUCUGUUGAUCACUGUCUGAAAUUGAAAUGUGUACAAAAAGAAUGAACUUCCAUCUCAGUCCUUGGAAACAGUGGGGGGGAGAGAAGGAAAGAAUGUGAUGAUGCUCAGAAAUGACCCUGAGAGUUCAGGAAGCAUCUCAUUAUCCCAGGCUGAAAUGAGGUUGCUAUGAACUGGGGCUUUGGGAGUAAAUUAAGAAAGGGUAAAGGUGGCCCCAGGCUAGUGGGAUACUGAGAAGGUCAGGGCAGAGCAGGGACCUCAGGCUUUGUCUCAAAUUUGCAUGCACAAACCCUAUAGCAAGACACCUUAUUUUAAAAGGUGAUGGCUGAAACCAGCAGCCCAGGAAAUAUAUGUCUGGAUCUGGCUGGAGGUUAUUUCUUUAUGUUAACAAAUGUGCGUUUUCUCCCAUACAUGGGAAUGCACAACCUUGGAGCCUCACUUCACAGCUCCUUUACCAAAAGGGAUACCGCUAAGUCAUAACAGCACCUAUGCACAGAAACAUCUGUGUGAGCCCCAGACUUGGCUGCGUUCUUCUCGUCCUAAUUUCUGCUCUGUUCUACACCUCUGGACUGUGCCUGCAGUGUGGAUUUUCAAAUGACUUGAAGUGUUAUUAAAACAGGGUUUGUAAGGAAAGAAACAGCUUCCGCAGGCUUAGAAAUACAGCAUCAGCAAAAGAAAGCUAUGUCUAUCAGCAGCAGAACUGUACGUGUGAAGUGAUUUCUUGUAAAUAUGUCUCUGCCACAAGACAAAGCACUUCCAUUUGGUACAUUUGAUACAUUUCAGCUUUCUUAGGGCUUCUGGGUUCUUGUCCAGCGUUUCUACUGGCUGGCUUAAAAAGAUAAACAUACUUAUUUAAAUAUAAAAUCAUACCAUUAUGAAUAUUAACAAAAUUAAUCUAAAAUAUUAUUAUAGUAUUAUAAUGGUGUAUUAUAAGAUUGUUACAGUAUAUAACAUAAUUAUAAAAUUGGUUGAAACGUGGGCAUGUUUUGAAUAACUCUGCCUACUUCUGUCCAUGAACAUGGGCUCAGCCUUUCCUCUUCUGCUGUAAAGAAUGUACACAAACAAGAAGUAAACACAACUUUUCUGCUCAUCUGAGUCCCUGUACCUGAGCAUGAAUGAUCUGAGGGAUUAAGAACGUGGGGAGAAGAGCCUGAGUUGAGCUGAAGAGCAUGCAGGUGAGAGGACUUCUACAGGUAAGAUGCUUUCUAGAGACUUGGGCAACACUUUGGGAAGUUUGCAAGGAAGCUGUGGCUUUGUAUUAGUUCUGUUGGGUAUUCACAGUCUGAGAAAUUACAGGAGGGUAGUGAAAACUACCAUGUCACCAAGUGUGAUAACCUCUACAGACAAUGUGCAACCAACCUCAGUGACAGGAGUAGUGCGUUCCAUAGGGCGUAGGAGGCCUGUUCUACUUGUGAAGGUAAAACAUGAGUUUGUCAGAGAGCAAUAACUUCUGACCAGCUUCUUUUAGGUAUUCCAGAUUAGGAAUGCUUUGUAUUUAAUAUGAAAUUUACUUAGUUAUGGGUAUUUGACAUUGCAUGGGAGUUUGAUUUACCAGAAUAUACAAAAAUGACAACGCAAACACAAUGUAACGGCUGCAACAUACAGCUGGAUUGCAGUGGUUGAAUCCAGACCACUGAUUUCCUCACAGUUCAUUUUGUUGGCUGCUUAAUUUUCAGAUUGUGUUGGGCUGAGCCACAAAUACCCUUCCCCCAAGAUGCUCUGUUGGGCUCAGAAAGAUAGUACUCAAUGGAUUAUUUUAGAGGGAACCACUUAUAAAACUAGGUGAUCCACUCAGCUGUUGUAGCUAUCUGUCUAAAACAAAGGCCACUCUUCAGUCCCCUUCAUGUUGAGUUAGGUUCAGCUUCAGUUAUGACAGCUGUGGUUAUUUCCAAUAUGUAUUUGUGAGCUCCAUGGUCACAUCCUCCUUGCCCAUCUUCUCUGAGCCUUCCUCCACUAGAGAGAUCCACUUUCUACCCACAGAAGUCCCCAUGCUGUAAAGCAGGCAGAAGUUCCACGUGUUAGGUGGGCAAUUAAAUCCAUAUGGAAAUAAUUCCUGUUGGAACAGAGGCAGCACCCAGAGCUGUGUGUUUGAGAGGCUGGGGGAAGCACUGCUCAGCUCGCCGGCUUCGCUUCUGUAAACGGUGUUGCACAUGGCAUGGCUGAAGUCCCUGCCAUCCCAAUAACGGUGCCUAGCAUUUUUGUUAUGGCUGGUCAUCCCUCUGGGGUUUGUAAGCCAUCUACCCAGCUAGAGACCAUACAUGGUUAAGAUUUAUGUAUAUUUAUUGCCGAUGGCCUAUUCGCUAGCUCUGCAGGACUGUGCACGCAACACGGGGCACCCAGAGCUCGUUUAUCCCAGGGCAGGGAGGAGCGGAGAGAAAAAAUGAAGAUUAAACGAGUGAGACCAUUAUUAACAAUCGCUUUUUACAGCAUUCUUUUGAAUGAAUACCUUUUUACAACAUAUUUUUCUCCUAAAUGAUGUGUUCAGGCAGAGGCCCAGCGUUGUAAAAAGACACAUAAUUGGCACUCGGACAGGUCUGAGUUAUUGCCUGGUUGGUGUAAUUUUACACCUGUCACUGCCCAUAUAUUUAGAAACAGUGAAAAAAGCAGGCCCAGGGUCGUUUCCCUGCUGGUUGUGCUCAGGCUAAUGUGCUCACUGAGUCCAUAGCAGGCCUUUGUGCAGAAAAGUGCACAGGGAAAUGAGGUCUGAAAAAUACCGGAGAAUGCCCAGAGAAGUUGUGCACGCACCCUCCUUGAAUGUGCUCAAGGCCGGGUUGGAUGGGGCCCUGGGCAGCCUGAGCUGGGGAGCGGCAGCCCUGCCAUGGCAGGGGGUGGGAAAUGGAUGACCUUUAAGUUCCCCUUCAACCCAAGUCAUUCAUUGAUUCCCCAAGAGCACCUGGCACUGCUUUCCCUUUGCGUCUCGCCAUAGUAGUCAUGCCAGUGGCUGGAGGUGAUGCCACUGUGUACCUUCUCACAAUGGGUUGGGUACCUUCUAUGGGAACAUUUUUAGGCAGCGUUGUUUUUAUUUUCCUGGGAUUUUCUGAAGUUACCCAGCCUGUGGCCUCAGCUGCAUUCCCUGGGCUUAAAAUAUGCAAAUGUAAGAAUAGAAAUCCAGCGGUUCUGCCAGCCAAGGCUGCCCAAACAUCAGUAGUGCUGGGUACACAGGCUCCAGGGCAGGGAGAGCCACAGUUCUGCAGCCUGUGUGACAGCAGAAAGGCCUCAGGAUGGGGCUGCUGGGGCGGGGGCUGCUGGGUGUCAGUGGGAAGGGAUCAGCACCGCAUGGGGCCGGGAGCGUCCCUGGGAUGGAUGAACUCACAUCAGGGCUUUCCUGUGCAGUGCCCCGGCAGCCAUCGGCAGGUGUCUUGACCUGGGGCCUGGGGCUAAGGAAGGCAGAGCAGCUGGAGGUUCUGCUCAUGAGCCCACUGUGCAAAUUUCAUCCCUACUGUGGAAACGUUUAUCCAGGUACCUCACCUCCUCACCCUCCUCCUUUGUUUGACUCAAGCCGGGUGACUUUGGGGCAAUGGCAGGCAGUGAUCCUCAUCCUCUGCUCCACAGUUCCCAGGGCCUGAGCAGAGGGGCUGCAGCACUGCCACCAGCACAGCUCUGCAGAUCUUUCCUGAGGAGAUUCAUACAACAGCAACUGGACUGGUUGCAUUACUGGGGGGAAACUGUAGUCAACAGUUGUUGCAAUGCUGGAGGAACACUGGCCCUUCUGGCUGUAGAAGAGACACACCGUUGGUCAAUCACACCUAAUGACUCUGAUUUAAUGUUGUGAUAUUUGGUACAAUAAUUUACUUUGCAUACUUUUUCCUCUCCUUUUCUGUGAGUCAGUAAUACUAUUUACUAUGAUCUCUAGAGGUCCUUUCCAACUCCUACAAUUCUGUGAUUCUGGGAUUCACUUCGCAUUUUCCAGGGUAUUUUUGUUUCUGCAGUGCUGAGAGCAAGAAAAUUGUCUUGUGAACUGACAUUUGUAUUUCUUGUGUGUCCAGAAGGCAGAUCUCUCAGGACAGCCAUAAUGGCAGACCCUUGAGGCAGCAGAGGCUGGCAGCAGUUCCCUGCAGCCGGGGAGUCUCAGUGCUCAAUGGGAACAGCUCUGCACAUUGCAUUUGGGUCCCUCCUCUGCUUAAACUCUUUAAUUUCCUGUGGCCGUAAGCACCGUAAGGAAGGUCUCGCUGCCCCAGGCUGGCCACCAUUACCUUUGAGUUAGAUUAUAUUCACACCUGUGAUAAAUAUUAACGACACAGUUCUGGUUUUUAGUUUCUAUCUGCAAUCUCUAGCCUAGAAAAUCAUGAGAGAUGCACACCCAAACCACCAGAAAUCAAGAGGGAGCCUUUGAAAGAGAGAGGUUUUCCAGAACAAGCUUUCUCGUUGUGAAAGGCUGAAACUAUUGCUCUCAUGUGAUUUAUAGUGCAAAAGUGUUCAGUCUUGUACAGCACCUGCAAUCCUCAGCAAUAAUUCAAGAACAGAGCAGCCUGUUGUUGAUACAGGGUAUCACUGGAGAAUAUAUAGAAUGCCUGCACGUGCUUUUCACACAGUUGAAAUCACCCUGAAUGUGCUACUAAUGUGUGUAAAUAUAUUUGCUAUUGUUGGCAUAAUCCACAAGCCCCAAAUGAAUGUGGCUACAGCAGAACCCUCUGGCUGCUCCAUCAAUUACUGCUCCUUUUCCAGCCGUGACCUGUACCUGCUCACAUCUUCCUAGAAACGAUGAAUGAUGAGAAUGAUUUAAUUUAUAGUUUCACCAUAAAUUAAGGCUUGUGUUACAAGUACGUAAUCUUUAGCAUUGUAAAGAAGCUACUAAUACAGUGAGACUCCUUACAAGACAGAGAGAAACAGUGUUUGCUACUGAGAGCCUGCAGCACUGCUCCCUGCAACGCUGGGGCUGAAGACUUCUGUUCCACCUUUGGACCUGGGCAGCACAGGGAAUCUCUUGGUAUCCAUCACCUGUUUUUUGGCUCUUUCUUUUUAUGCCUGUUCUUCUCUGCUGCUAAAUGAGGAAAUUCAUUUCACCCCAGACACGGCCACACCGCAGUCCUGAGGCAAUGAACCUGAUGCGAUGCUGGUAGAGGCCACGGAAGGUUUGGGAUUAGAUAUAUGUUUUCCUUACAAUAUAGUGUAGUAUCUAAGCAUCACUGGUAAAUGCCCCACGCUGUUGCGAGGAUUCAGCACCCCAGGCCCUGGGAGAUGCCCUGGAGCCAGCCCAGGGCUCAGGCUGCUGGUUCUGCUGUGCUGCCCAGCCCAGGUCCUCAGGGACAUCCUCCAGAGCCAAACCACGGAGCUGGAGGAAUGUACGCAAGGGAGAAAUGGCAAAACAGUAGUGCAUUUCAGGGCAGCUCCCAACUGAGGCACGCUGCAAAUACAAUCGUGACCCAGGCAAUUCUACCAGCAUGGGUGGCUGGGACAAGCGUUCGGUCUCAUUUUUUUCUAUCACCAAAAGAAGGCAUAGAGCUCUGCGCAGAAUAAUACUAAGGGUUGAUUGAUUGCAGAUUAAAAGCCUGAGUAAAAGCUUAGUGACGUCAAUGGAAAGAUUCUCAUAGGCUUGAGCCAGCCCCAAGACACUGUUAGACCGAUGGAAUGAGAUUUUCUUUUUUUAAAUGCAAUUGUUAUAAUGUAAAAGCUUCUGUUGGACAGAAAUAUCUCAUAGAAACAGAAUUAAAAAGCGGCCUCGAACAAAAGAACAGAUUUAGCCACCCAAGACUGCCAUUUCAUCAUGGAUUACUGUUUAUGUACUAUGAUGUUCCACAAUCAUGUGCUUUAUAUGGAGGAAAAGCUCAGGUGCACCGGCAGAGAGUUAACACCAUGAACUGGGUGCUUCCCGUGUCAGCCAGAAAAGACCUCUCCCAUACAGUAAAUGAAAUGGGUUUUUUUUACAAGGUUUUUCUAUGCCUCGAAGGAUCUGUGUGCUAUUGGGGAGAUCUUUACCAGCCUAGAGUGAUUCAGCCUCACUGCUCAUAGGAACGUGUCAUACUUGGCACAGGUGUGCAGGUGUCAUUGACAGCAUAGCCAGGACCCUGGCCCCUCUUGCCUGUAAUGUGUAUUAUCCGUAAGAAAAACACAUACAAGUAUAUCCAAUUUUAUAUCACAGGUUAUUGUCCUCUUUCAAAGCUAAGGAAUUUUCAUGAAGUGUGUAUACAUCUGGUAUCAGAUCAAUUCAAGCUUACAAUAAAAAAUUAUUUAUAGCUCUGCAUUGACAUUUGUUUAUUGUAUAGAUGAUAUCACCACACCAGACAGUUGCUUUAACUCAACAUUUCUCACUUUUAUUGCAUUUGUGAUCCCGUAUAUGGCCACAGAACAAAUCAUUAAAGAGGAUUGUGUGAAGGAUAAUGAGUACCAUAAUACUUCUAAGCCUCACAUUUACUCUUUAGCUGGACUCAAAUUCUUUUGAUCUGUUGAGCAAAGUUGCAAGAAACAGAAUAUAAUGGAUGUUGAAUGACACAUUUCUUGUAAUCUCAGAUUUUCCAAACCCCUCUGGUGUACCUGUGUUCCCCUUUCCCUCGCUAAUGAACUCUGACACUGAAACAGAUGUUGCCCUGUAAAUUCUCAUACAUUAUUUCCCAGCAACACUGCUGCUCCAAAUUCAUUCGCUCUGAGGCAAAUGCUCAGAUACGCUGACCCCUUUGUCAAGUGUCUUCUCUUCUCCUCCCCUCGCUGUUUGCCAGAUCAUGGUGGACUCUGUCCCGUUCAUCUUCUGUCCCGUUGCAUCAAGCAACAGUGACACAGGGACGGCGGUUUUCCCUGCAGGGAGGUGCCCUCUGUGUUGCUCUGUCACUGCACGAGCAAAAAGCCAGUGCACCUCCCAUCCCGCUGCUGUGGCUGAAGCGUUGUUUUAUAUGACUUUACAGUUUUGCUUGUAAAACACCUUAUUUUGCAUCGCUGCAGAAAGCAGCCUUUCUACCAAGGGACUCAUUCUAGCCAGUUUUUCUUUCUGUGUUCUGAAUUUCAUGGGAAAGAGAGGUUUGCUUUGUGCUAAGUAGGAAAUGGAUUGCACUGACUCUGAAAUGUUUAUACAAGGGGUUUCACGGGCCUGAUCUCACACUCAGGCUUCCUCCAAGUUUGGCAUGAAGAACAUUUGUAAUUAAGGCAGCAGCACUGUGCCACAAAACCAUUUUCUGCCUCAGAACGGCAGAUCCGCCCAUGGAGUCGGAGGGACGAGCCUGUGGUUGUGUGUGGCUGCACAGACUCAGCCGGGGGGGGCUCUGUUUCUCAUUCAGUCCAUUCAAAUUUCUGAGAAAAGGCCCAUUGGCCAAAUCAGAACCGUUUCAUCUUUAUUUUUUAAAUGAAAAUGGGUAACGCCUGUUCUUCUCCCCAAUCUUCACAUUUCUUUUCAUUUUCCUUCUGCUGCUCUCUACAUUUGCAGAACUUCCUCGUUUUUAUGAUGUCUUGAAAACUCUGGGUAACAAAGGGAAAAGUGAAAAAGUAGGGAAAAGUGCUACCCUGUGGCUGCAGCUUAGUUUGUUACAUUUGGCAGCAAAGCAGCUCAAAGCUGAACCAUCACAACGUUGAAACACUUCCAAAAUCUUCCACAAAUUGUGAAAAAACGUAAAAAUGUUCACCUCUGAUUCUGCAAAAUGAAAUUUUCUAUUGAUUUUGGUUACUUUUUAUUUCACUCCUGUUUCUUAUUGCAUUCAUUAAGAGUCAUAACUGCCGGGCUUCAAACUGUCCCUCCUGGUGUGGGCUGCAAGAGACAGGUUCGAAGAAUCCCUGUGGGUUUGGAAGCUCGUUGUGAGCUGGGAGGAGAGACGUGGCUGUGUGUCUCUCUGCCAUGGGAUAGGCCUCGGUGACCAACUCUGGUGGUUUCUCAGGAAAAAGCAUGAGUUCAGAGGGAAUCCUUAGAGGUGGCCUGCCUCUUCCCCCUUGACUAGCUCAGAGUUGAAGUCCCUGCACCGCAUUAGGUGGCUUUUGGCAGUGCUGGAUUGUUGUUACCACCCACUGGACAGGGGCGUCCACCUUCUGGAGCCCAGGGCAGGACGUGUGCCUGUCAAAAGCAUCUCUGGAUGUGUACAGCUGAGGGGCUUUCCUCGGAGGGUCUUCUGGAUUCACAGUCAUCUACCUCUAAGCACUGAAAAUCCAAGCCCCAAAUUCUUCACCUUCCUAAAACCAAUGAGAGUUUUACCUGCCUAAAGGUUUGCCAUACAAACUGAACCAGCACUUCAGGGUCUGCUGCUCUGGUAUCUUUGCAUUGCGUCUUGGCUGCAGCUGACAUAUUCUCUAGGGAUACCUUCAGAGCCCAGCUUUUGCUGUGUUUGGCUGCUGGCUGCUAGCUUUCCAGGCUAAGAUCAUAUGUGAUUUGGCUUAGGGACACGUCACAUGCAGCUUUACGUCACAAAUGGCAGUUUGCCAAUGGAGGUAUAAUUAACAGACAGGAAAAAAAAUCCAAACAAUAUCUUCAAGUAGCCUCAAGCCAAGUUGCGGGUAGAAUAUUAAAUAGAAGAGUGUAUAGAGAGAGGUAAAUCUGUGGCUGGGGAAUGGCUCCAGACAACCUGAGGGGAGAUUUGGAGGGCUCAUUAGCUUGUGAAGUCAAGAUCCAAACUUUGGCUUUGUUAGGCUGUUCAAGCCCCCGGUGUAUUUUCUGGGCUUACACAAUUUAGACUCAACCCGAUUGCUCCUGUACCCACUCACCUUGAGAAAAAGAGCAAAUGGCAGUUGCUCAGUUGAGGCCCCUCAGUGGUAGCUGACACCCCAUUCUGCCCUCAGGAUUAAUAGGGUAGCUGCAUACAUAAGAUGCUCUUUGGGGAUCUGGGACAUCUGAGUUCAUUUAUCAGCUUUGCUAUGGUUUCUAUGGAGUCUGGCUUCUCUGUCUCUCAGUCUCUAGUCUGCAAAGCGGGGAUAAUAACAAUUCCAUCUCCAUGCCUUGUUUUACUGAAUGUAAUAACUUUAAAGAAUAGAGGAACUUCCCUUGCAAAAUAGGCUGUCAGAUCUCCGUGCCACUGAGGACUAAGAAACAUGAUAAAAUUCAACAGGCACCGUGGAAAAUUGCAUAUCAAUCAGACAAGGGAAAGUAGUGUGGGAUUCAGGGCAGGACAUGGACAGAAUGGAACACCGGGUAAUAAUAAUCAUUUAUAGACAUAAAAAGUCUCAGGAUCAUAGAAAAAUAGAUGGGAAGGGACCCCAACAAUCCCCCAUCCUUUUCCACUUCUCCACUUUUUUUCCAUUCCCUAUGGAUAUUUGUCCAACCUGCUCUGAGAGAAGUCCUCUUCUCCUACCGUAGGUCGUGCUUGACAUCUGGUUGCUGCAAAGACUAACACAAAAAUGUAUGAGAAAUUUAAUCGUGUUCCAAGAGCUGCAUCCCCGUUGAGCUGUGAACCCAGGCUUCCUUUGGCCUUUUUUGUGUGACAGUAUCUGUCGAACAACUUCUUCAAGAUGUCUCCUGGCAGCUUCUACCGGAUGCAUGCCAUUAUCUACUGUGCUGUCUCCUUGGGAAGGACCUCCACAUCCAACAGGUCAUGCAUUCUGUCAGCCAUAUCAGCUUGCCUAAGAAAGAUCCUGCCACUCCAUGUGAACUUGCUCUCCUGAAUGCUGUAAACCACCAGCACUCACAAAGGCACAAAUGUCAUGCACCUUUCUGAGAUGUUCCUGUCCAGCUCCAGGUUUCCCUCUCUCUUUCAGUCUUCAUGCUUCCUUCACACAACAAGGUUUUCACUUUCUUUCUGUUUCCCUUUAGUGCCACUCUUUUAGCCAAGUUAUUCUUCACCCUCCCAUCUUCUCCUAACUGACACAUCUGUUCACAUGCUCAAACUAUCACUUCUUUGAGGAAAUGCCAGUUCUCCCUCACUUCUUUUCUUUCUUCUCUACCAUGGAAUCUGUCAAGAGUAGUUUUCUCCAUUCAUUUAUCCUCAGAUACGCAGUCCUUGAUGAGAAGCUCGGCGUAGGUCCCAGGGGCAUACUUUGUUAUUAUUAUUUUCAUAAAGAACAACAACAACAACAAAAAUAUCCAGACACAAGUUAAAAAUUGUAAAUCUUUCGCUUGUCUUUAUCGGAGAUUCCAUAUAGACUGGGGAAAUCUUCAGCCUGAGCCUUGGAGAUGAACAAAUAAAAAAAUCAAAUACAAAUUCAAUAAAUAAUAUAAUGAGCUCUUCAAACCUUCUGGAAAAGUUUAAUAAAUCCGAGAUACUUAGACACAUGUUUACCAUAUAACUAUUUGUAGGAACAUGGUACGUAUCAAAAAGUAAAAUGUACUUGCAUUCCUGUAGAGACAUAUUCUAAGGUGUGAGAAGAUUGUCCCAGUCAACAAAUGUCCUUCGCUUUCAAAGGCUGAACUAUUUUCUCAUAUAAAUAAAAGGACAAGCCAAUAAGUGAUGGUUAUUUCAGUGGAGAAAAGUAACAGCUAAUCCUGGAGUUGAUUUUUCAUCUCAGACUGCAUUUGACAGCUUUGAAUUCAUCCUAAUUGUGAAAAAACACAAGAUGGUUAAAACAUCCUGUGUAAACAAGAAUGAAGACAUUGAUUGAAAUAAGCUUUUGGAAAGAGGCUGUUGUUUGUAACACAAAGAAAUAGAAGAUUAUAUCCCAAAAGAAAAGUGUUCAAUGUUAUUAAAAUUAUAUUUCCAAUUUCUUUCCUUCCGUUGAUUUUUUUUUUAAUUGGAGGGCCAAAAUAUCCUCAGGACAGCGAGCUGCAGUCAGCAUUUUGCAAGAAGAAUCUUUCCAUUGGAAGACUUCCAACCAGGUCUCCAUUUCAGUUCUGCAGAACAUAUAAUUGAUUUUUCCAUAUAGUUAUAGUCUAUUAGAUGCAUUUAAAUCUUUACAUUGCUGCCUGUUUGAUGUGGGCGACGUAUUUUAUCCACUGUAAAUGGUAAUUUCUUCUUUCCAGUUUUCUAGGUGGAAUUCUGCAGUUACUAUUCACAAGCUAAGGUCCAGACUUUGGUGUUGGAAUUCUUGCUCUUUCACUGUGGCAUAACCUACCUAUGCUUGCAGCCACACAACUGUUGGGGUGACAGCAUGCACACAAACAGCUAUUCUGUAUGAGAACACCAGGCAUAGCAACACUCUUGCUCAUCUAUACGAACAAGUGAACUGACACCACAUUCAGUUUUUCACUAAAGCAAUUGUAUCUAGAAAUUAUGUGUCUGCUCUACUGUGAACCUCCCUUCAUACACACAAUGAAAAAUCCCAAAUCUUUCUGAGGUUCUAAAAAGGAUUAAAAAAAAACCCUCUUUCUUCCAGUUCAUUGUUGGAUAUGUUAACCAGGAUCAGAGAUGUUCCCAUGAAGUUAAAAACGGGAACUGAAGACUGAAGAGCUACAGCUGUUUCAAGUGCUGUCAGCCACAGGAUGGAAACACCUGGGAAAGCACUGUAGAUGCCAGCAGUCACCAUGGCCUGGUGGUGCCCCACAGCUUGGUUGGAUCCCACAGGGGUGCAGGAAGAUGCCGAAAAAGCUCUGACCCAUGCAGGUUGUGCUUACUGCUUAGAGAAACUGGAUAGGCUGGUCACCUCUCAAAAAAACAAACCUUUGGAGGAUGUGCAUGUGGAGGUAGCUUCCGCUGCCCAAAGCAUCCCUGCUCCACCAGCAGCAUCCCAUGUGGUGUGGACUCAACUUUGGAGGGGCUUUCCCAAAAGUGUCAUCUACUUGGAGCCAAGUGGUAGCCCUGCAGCACAGACAAAACCCCUCCGCCAUGCCCUGCCCUGACUGCCCGCAGCCUCCUGAGCCCAUUCAGAGAAUCACAGAAUCACAGAAAGGGACUCUAUGAAGGGCCCUGAAACUGAUCAUUGAGCUCCAGCCCCCUGCGGUGGGCAGGGCUGUCACCCACCAGAUCAGGCUGCACAGGGCCACAUCCAGCCUGGCUUUGAGCACCUCCAGUGAUAGGGCAUUCCCUCCUUCCUUUCAGGACAUGACCGGGUCUGGUGACCAAAUCACUUCCCACACAGGGAAGCACUAGUGGAGCUAGAUCCAGCUCUCCUAAUUAUCACACAGAGCCUGUAGACUGUUAACAGCAGCCCACAUUAGCAUGGAGCCAAGUCCUUAGUGUGCUGUGAUAAUAACAGUGUUUAAUAGAAUUAGGGGAAGUAUAUAAUCAGAAUAAGACUGCUGUGUGUACACAAAGGCAAGAUUAAUACACAACCAGUGAGCCAGGGCUAAGUCGAUAAAGUGGAAUUCACUGGGAGCCAGGAUAGCAGACAGGUAAACAUUAAUCUCUGUGUGUGAUGUGGAGUUUAGAGAUCAGAUGUUACUUGAAACCCGUGCAGAUGCAUGGGGUAUAUGGAGGGCACCACAGCCUCUGUUACCUUACACUCCUCAUGUGGAGCAGGAAGAGCUGCAUUCUUUGUGAUUAACCCAGCUUGAACUUUGAAAUGUGACUCCCAAAUAUUUGCGAGAAUACUGCAACUAAGACAAAGGAGUGGGGCUUUAAAGACCCUGUGGUUCUACAGUGUGCAGCUAGCUUCCUGCGGGGCUUAGGGCAAGUCCCUGCACCUCCCGGGACCUCAAUUGCCCAUGAAUUUCCUCCAAAUAGAUUUCCUUUGCACAUCUUAUUUCCAUGGGGAAUUAGUAUGGAAGUUUCAGAAGGGAAACACAAGAAGGCUAAACGAGAAACUUCAACACCCAAACUAAAACUGUGGGGGAGUUUUUCUUAUUUCAAGGAAGAAGAGCACAGUUGGUCACAAAGCCAGCAAACAUUUCCAGCUUCGAAAGAGGUCUGUGCCUAAAUACCUGGGUACUUCUCUGUUACUGAUCACAUACCCACACAUACCAGUAUUUCACCACAUUUAAUUGGCUGAUCAGCCACCUGAAGGUGCCAGAAGGCAUCAUCUUUCCAGGGAUCGCUGAUGGAUAGUUGUAAAUUUCUUAGGUCAAGAAAGAAAGUUUUGUAUUCUGGGGGCUUUAAUACAGACAUAUUGCCCAGCUUUGGCUGGCCAUUAAAUUAAUCCCUUUCUUUCCAGAAGCAAUCACAAAGGAUCCCAAAUGAUAAGCUGAGGAGAGCCCCAGGGAUUCCAUCACCCCUGGAUGCAGUGUGCCCACAUUUAGAGCAGGAGUAGGGAAGGUCUCAGCUCCUGCAGCCCAGGACACCGUACUUCAAUGAGCCCCAGCCAGCACAACCUACUUAUUUUACCCUUGUGAAAGUGCUUUAACUUCAGAAUAAAAUAUUGUUUUACCCUCUGCCCUGCUGCUCUGUGUAACUCCAGUGUCAGCUUCCAAAACUAUAACAAACCUCCUAAACAAACACAUUUUAAGCUCUGCUUCCAAACCAGGCUGGGUAAGGAGCAAGCAAGCUGAAUUAGAUGCAGGAGCCGAUUCAUCACCCCUUCCUCUGCCUCCUGGUCCCCCUGCCAUUUUGGGCAUUCCCAGCUGUGUCACCUGCAUGACAAACAGGGCUGAAGGAGUUGUUUUCGCAAGGUGCCAGUGGCCAGUCAGCCUCUUUGCAAGGUGAGGGCGAGCUGCCAGCUGUCUCCUCAAGGAGCACAGCCCUGGAAGCCAGCAGAGCAGGAGGAGAGGGAGGGUAUGGAAACUUCCCAGGGGAGGAUUGUUGCAGAGACUGAACAGGCUCUGCUCUAUCCAAGCACAAGGAAAUGUAUUAAUGUCAGGCCCAAGUGCCCUGCUUUGUCUCAUGACAGCACCUUCGCAAACAUCUCAAACAUUUGUUUUCUUUUGUGCAGCCUCACAUGCCACCACCCAGCACCAACAAAUAGAAGCUCCAUACUUUUUAAGCACAGCCUUAUGAGGAAAUACUGUUACAAUGAGCCGCAGCUCUGUCCUGGCAUGGCGAUAAAAAUGCUGGCAGAGAUGGGAGGCAGAGCAUGUGCAGAGCAGCAGCUGCAAGAAGAGGGGCCUGCGGCAACUGCAAUGGCUCCCAGGAGCCAGUGGGGAGAAUGGGCCAUACAGAGAAAUCCAGGAGACCUCUUAGGAAGGACUUGCUAUGGGGUUAGUUAAAGCUGUUUUACGACUCUCUGGACUGGGAAAGAAACAAGCAAGUCCUGUUUUUCUGAGGUACAGUGAACUGUGUCACUGCUGUAGCACCAGAAGGAGCUGCCGCCCUGCAAGAAGGCCUGUCCAGUGGGCAGGGGUCUUGCAAAGCUCCAUGAAAUGUGGGGCUGGCAGUCUGGGCCCCUGGGUGCGCAGCUGUUCUGCUCAGUGCCCAGCUCAUAGCAGAGGGCCGCCCUGGGCCGAGCCACCAAGGCCCGCUCUCCUGGAGACCCCCCGCUGCCCCAGGCCUCUCACGGCUGCAGGCUUGGCAGCUGGCACCAGCUGGCUCCACCACACAGAUCGUUCUCUAAAUAUUAUGCUUUUUGGGGUGUUGGUUUUAGCUGUUGUAAUUGGCAGCUUUCCUUCACUGCCUGUAGGAGCAAUGAGUUACUGAUGGGAGGAAAAAUUUGAGGACAUUAGCAGCUUAUUCCAACCCCUAUUUGCCUCCUGCGUAACACAUGCCACCCCAUUACUACCAUGCCCAAAAAUGGAUGAGUAUUGGUGCUCAAGACAGAAUAUGCCUGUUUUUGCCAUGCAGAAUUUUUUCAGAAUUAGAUUUUCUCUCCUUUCUGUAUUAUUAUUAUUAUUAUUUUAUUAAUUUUCAACAGCUCCUUGAUAGAAUGAGUUGUGGGGCAGGUCAAGAAGUUCAGAUCUUCAGCUGUCCACAUUACAUUGUCUUCUUAACACCACAGGCUGGCAUUUUGAAAUUCCCUUUUAAAUGCCACAGAAGUAUCUUCAAUCUCAUCAGAGUUUGGAUCCUGCGUGCUGUGGGUCUGUAAGGAUCUCAGUGGAUAUACUGCCUGCCCCUUGGAGAACUUCUGAAAAAGUUGAUCCUAUGUCUGCAGCUACUUUUAGUUUUUCAGUCACACAAAUACCCGGUUAGAAGAAAGAGAGCUGGAGGAUGGUAGGAAGAGAGGGAGAGGCAAGAUUUAUCUCUUCUUCCUAAACACUGGCUGUUACCACAGCUUUGUGACUGAUGGCAGAGAUGUGCAAGUCCACUGCCCUAUUCUGAGCAAAACACACAUAAGUGGAAAUAAAUACAUAAAUAUUCAGCUGAGGCAUCAGACGCUUACCAAGGCCACCUAGGAGCUGGCUCACUAUUCUGGCCCCCAUCUUUCUGUUCUUCAUUUGUGCAUGUCUUACACCACAGGGUGCACAGCUCCGAGGGGGACCAGGACCUACCGCUGUUGUGCCAACAGCAGCAGGGGGCCGACUGCUGCAUGCAUAGCUCUGAGUCUCCUCCAGGAACUGCCAGGAAGCUCCUCAGGGUGGGAUGUGUAGGGGAGGAAAGCUCUUUGGCAGGGCUGAUUUCUCAACACAGUGAAGGGUUGUAUCUUGCUUAAUGCUAGUUGUUGGAACUGAUUAGUAACAGUCCUUCUCUAGUAUUCCUAUUCCUGUUAUAGCAAGUGCAGAAGACUGGGCACUUCUGAAGAUGAUUUGCACUCUUCUCACCUCUCAGGAGAGGUUGAUGAUUCCUUGAGUCCUCUCUCUAUCUCUUUCCUAUUGGAGGCAGCCUGGGCCAUCAACAGUGGAUCUUCAUGACCUGGAGCCUCCUGGGAGGUGGAAGGAAUCUGGUUCAGAGGGGCUUUGAGGGCUUCAGUCCAGUUUGCCAAAGACAGGAAGGGCAGCACCCAGCCCUCCUCCCUUAGUUUGUUCUACAGACCUUGGCUUGCCUUCUGGGAGCUCCUACUGUAGCCAAAAACAAUAGCACCUCUGGAGCUGAGCCACAAAGACAUUCAGCUCCCUUUUUUAUGCUGUAGCUGCCUCCUAAGCACCAUUUGAGUAUCCAGUUGAGAUGAGCACUUCUUGUACUGCAUGCAAUAUAUACAAGUUUCAGGAUAAUUUCUGUCUCCGGGAAUUCAGUCUAAAUUAAGACAGGAUUGCAGUGAGAGAUGUCACGAGAACUGGCAACAGGGAAGAAGGAGGAUGGGAAAUAGGAGCCUUGCUACAAUCUCAUCCUUCUUUUAGCACACUGCCUUUUUGUUUAAGGCAAACUUUCUUGUCUUCUAGAAUGAUCUCCCAGCACACCCCACAUCUCUCCUGUUUAUCUCUGUCAGUAUCUGGUGCUUACAUUGCAUCUCUAGAUACGUGAUGCAUCAGCUUCACAUGUGGUAUUAAUAAGCAGUGGGUAUCUGCACAGGAUGGUUGCAAAGAGCAUCUGACUGAUUGCAUUACAGAAGGAUGCCUGGAACUGGAGUUGCUUUCCCAGAUGAAUACAGGACAGAUCUGAGAACUUUUUUCUUCAUUCCUUCUCAUCACAUACGUAUUUUCAUGGCUAACAGUCUGGACAAGCAGAACAUCACGAUGUCAACCAAGGGAAGAUGUAAAUCUCUUUAAGUAAUUUUUAAUGAAAAAAAAUAUUGAGUUACUCUGAGUGCCAUAGUUUCUGGGUGGCUGGUUUUAACUUUAGCAAUCCAUACUUAAAGGGAAAUUUUACAGUCUUAAUACAUUCCAGAUGUUCUCCUACUCCCAGAUGAAAGCUCUGUCAUCGUUUACUGUUAAUAUUUUUGUCAGCAGUAGAAUUUUAUUGUAAUACCCCAUCUUAUUUGUAGGCACUAUUAGUCAUGAGAGAAACUUCUUCCAAAAGUAAUCCUUGGGUCACUACUUGAGUGCUUUGUCUCACUCCAUUUAAUUAAAAACCAUUAACUGUUUGUUGUGUCCAAGGCUUGUCUGUAUAAUGCGUACAUACAAUGACUUUUUACCUGAUGAAAGCCAUUUGCCUUGAACAGUUAGACUAAAAAAAAUAUAGUUAUAUUCUACAGUAACAAUAGUUGGCUUUGUAACAGCUCUCCGGUGGAACAAAAACAAGAGAUUUGCUUUGAAAAUAAACCUCCAUGAACUUGGAUCGACAACAAGGGACACAAAGGUUUACUGCAAAAACAAGAAAUGCAUUUCAUGCUGUUAAGCUUUGAUCAUAUGUUAGUUUCUCACAUGGAGAACAGUAUUUAAACAUGGCAAUUUUGAUCCUUUGUAGUGACCGAUGGUGUGAUUACAGAGGGAAGGGGAGAUGGGGGAGCACAGCAGAGCAGAUUAUCAAAGCACAAGUCCUCUGGUUGGACCUCUGAGGAUUCUCCUUGUUCAGUGAAGAGCAACUACUUGAGUCAAAAAGCUGGCACUUCACAACAGUGUCUAUAUAAUAUUCAGUUAGUAAACAAGUUGGAAGAUGCUGUUAUUUUUUUUUUUCACAGUUAUCUCUGAAGAUCCAAGCUGGAUUUUGAAAAAGGAGCCCUCAUUUUUCCUGUUCUUGCCUCAUCACUUUUCUCUUAGGGCUCUGGAGCUGCUGACAGGAGCUGAGAGGAGACACGGGGACACAUACGCUCCAAAUGGGUUGGCCAGCUGUUGGGACAGCUCUUCAACACCAGCCCCAGGGUUCUGCUUUCUGGGAAAUAUAGAUAGAUAGAUAGAUAGAUAGAUAGAUAGAUAGAUAGAUAGAUAGAUAGAUAUGAAGUCUUCUCUGGCUAUAGUGGUGGUAGAGACUAGGUUUGCUGUGUCCUAAGAUGAUGCAUAGAGUUUUGCCAAGGGUGAAGCAUGCCUUUAAUCCUGGGCUGUGUUAUCAAUAUGAAUGUAAUAGGCUAUGAACAGCACUAACAGUGACAUCUCCAACAUGAGACAUUCUCAUGCUGGAUUCUAGGAGGGAAAUGUUUUGCAGCAUGAUAAGACUCUGGACAACCAUGCUGAAACAAACAAAAAGAAAAGUGCCAUGUCAAACAAGGCUUGACCAAAUGGCUCUAAUUGGGCUGGAACUCUGCCCUUAGUGUCUUGUGCUUCUAGUUUUGGUGCUGGGACACACAUGCUACUGUGAAGACCCAGGAAUAUGAGUAGAAACAUGACACUAGGAAUCAAGAUCUUUUCCAAAGUCCUUGUUUGUACUAUCUGAAUAAAUUUGAGCAAGUACAGAUUCCUAAAGCAAUGUGAAGGUAUGUAAUAAAAGCCCUAGGCCUCUUGUCUUCAGGUGCCUCAUUUUCCUGUGCAGCCUGUUGGCACCUUAGAGUGUAAGCAAAGAUUUGUUCCCCUUUUCAAAAGUCUUCUUUUAAGUUUACAAAUAGGCUUAGAGCAAGACUUAAAAUGUGAGUUAAAAAGAUAUUAGAGAGAUAAUUAUUAUCCAGAGGCAGCAUUCAGAUUACAGCAAUAAUGAGAUAAAAGUUUCUUAGGUUUCUUCUGUCCUGCAUCUGCAGCUGUGGUCAUGUCUUCGGGAGGUGGUUAGAAGAAAAGCAUUUUAGCUGAGCUCUUCACUGCAUGAAGCUAUUCAGAAGAACAUAAUGGAGUCGCAACAAAAGAAUGGAAGAGGGGAAUACUCUGUUCUGCAGCUUUGGAGUGUGCGUAAUGAGCCUUCAUACCAGAGAGGCUUGAAGAGGUCACAGCUCAUCUGAAUGUCACUGAGACACUAAUGUACUGUUUAUGAAACUUCUUUUGUAGAGCAGUACUGUACACUGCUAGUAGUAUCGGUGAGUCACACUAAGUAUGGAGAGUAAAACUCUAUCUGUUCAUGGUAGGCUACUGGGUGAAUUUCAGAAAGAAAGCAACAGCCCCUACUAAGAGGGCUGGGCCUUAUACAUGCUUCCCUUUCACUUUGGCACCAUCAUUGUCUUUCAGAUGUUGUUUUCCCAUGUGAGCUCAGAAUCUACUGCAACAUCUGCACAGUGAUGACUGACAACACAGAAUAAACACAACUGCAAUUUCUGGAGGCAACCUGCACUCUUUCCUGAUGUUUGUGGUAAGACGGCCAUUGGAAAGCAUCAUCUCUGGCUACGUGGAAACUGCACAUCAGUGAUUGCUGCUCAUAUCUGGCACUGAAGCGGUUGGUGCCACAGCCUGCAUGUUUAGUUGGAUGCAAGGCACAAAUGGGAAACAAUGCUUUCAGGGGCCAACAGAGGCACGGCAUUUCCCUUAGAGACAAAGCAUUUUCCUCUCAGGCAUACAUUUCUUCUACCCUUCAAUAAAUAGUUCAGGUCUUCUUGUUUAAGAUAGUAGUUAUAGACUGGUUUUAGUACUUUUUUUUUUCCCUAAUCAAUUAAUAAAACUCACUGUGUGUAGAGCUCUAUCUAUUUAGACAAGGAAAAUGUUCCUUCUAUUCCUGCGUGUGAAGAAGAAAAGUACCUGAUAAACUUAAUGCAUUUCAACAAAUUCAAGAGUAUGACUGAAAGCAGAGCUUAGACUCCUUCCUAGUGCGAUUAUUCUUAAUCAUGCGUGACCAGCUUGGUAAUUCAUUUCAACCCUUCUGUCUACAGUUUUUUUUUUAAUGAAAGUGAUUAAAUUGAUUAAUGGAAUUUUGUUUGCUGAAAUAAAAAUGCAAAAUCAGGUAUUCAAAAGCUAUUAUAUACCUGGAAAGGUACUGCUUUUCAUCUUUUUCUUUUGCCAUAAUACUUCUAAAAUAAGAAACAAAGACAUGACCAAAUAAUGUGCUGACCAUUUUUAGUCUAUGUUCCUUCUAUGUUGUGUGAAACACCACAGACCACAACCAUCUCCUCAAGAACCUCUCCUUAGUACCUGCAGUAAGCCUA